AAAACCCCUUUCUCCUCAAACCAGAUCCACCAAAAGGCACUACUCUUCUUCUCCUACCUCCCUUUCUUCUCCUUUCAGCGCUAAAAUGGACGCUUUGGACUCUGUUUUCGAUCCUCUUAGAGAUUUCGCCAAAGACAGCGUUAGACUUGUCAAAAGAUGUCACAAGCCUGAUCGCAAAGAAUUCACUAAGGUUGCGACUCGUACUGCCAUCGGUUUCGUCGUCAUGGGGUUUGUUGGAUUUUUCGUCAAGUUGAUUUUUAUUCCUAUCAACAACAUCAUCGUUGGUGCUUCUUAACUGGCCUGACGAAGGAAAAACUAAUUGGAAUUUGGAGAUACAGAAGCCAGAAAGAUAUGCAAUCGCACAACAAUUGGCAACUAAGUUUAAACUAUUAGUGAAUGAUUCAAGUUCUCACUCAGAAGCUUAGGGCAAACAAAUAGCAGCAGGGCAGUGCCAAUUGCCAUACAGGUAAGUGAUUGUUUUUUCAGCUUAUCAAGACGCAAUGCCAACACAUUUCCUUAUAUUGUUGAUAAAUAAUAUAGAAUGUUAAUAUUAGCAUGUUUUUGCGUGUAAAUAAGAUGAAAAAUUUCUCAAGAUAACAAGUUUUUACACCUUUAUCACUGUCUAAAUAGGGGAUGUUGACAAACCAGGAAUAUGUAUGGAAUAAAUAACUUGAGCAUAAUGCAUAUAAAUAAGGGUUGCUUUGGGUGUAGUCUUAUUCACCAAGAUUAUAAGGAGUGAGAAACGCGAUUCACUAAGCCAUUGAGUCUAGUGUUAAUGAUCAAUAUCUUUUUUUGUUUGUUUUAAUUUAAGUAGCUUCGAGGUUAAUGACAGAGAUUUGUUAUCAGGUUAUUUUGUGAAAUGAACAUUAUAGUGAUAUAAGUUUGAAAGUUAAUUUCAAACUGAAGGAACUAUUUUCAAGCCGAGGUUAUUGUGUAGAUUUAUGCAUAGAGGUAAGAUUUUGGUCCUAAAAUUGAAGCUCUUUUCUGAUAAGAACGCACAGUAGUACUCGACUGACCUCGAUCUUAUAUGAAGAAGCAAAUUGAAUAAAAAAAGCAGUCGAACACAAACGAAUUCUGAAAUAUUAAUAGUAGAAAGGAUGAUAAGGGAAUAACAACGAAAGCAAAAGAGCGCCUUUAUAAUUGCCAAAUGAGAAAUCUCAAUAUACAGAACUUAAAGGUAAUUAGUAACCCGAUAGCAUGACUUACAUUGCAACGCUACAGCUAAACACCCAUCUACUAAAUUUGCACACAACAAAGAGAAUCACCACUUGAAAGCUCUACAUUAUAAAAAUAUUACCAGAAAUUAAUUGGAAAAGGAUUAUAGAAAUUUUAGAAUUAGUAAUUUACCUAUGUUGAUAUUCCCAAAAGGUUCAAUUGGCAGAGCAGGCAUACCAAAGAAUUACCUGGUGUUAAAGAUAUAUCGAUAAAGAUGAAGAUAUUUGUGAUCUGUGAAGUGACAAUUCAAACAAAA